rnacentral:rRNA from 1 species
GACGUAGGGGGCAAGCGUUGUCCGGAUUUAUUGGGCGUAAAGAGCUCGUAGGCGGCUCAGAAAGUCGGGUGUGAAAUCUCGGGGCUUAACUCCGAAACUGCAUUCGAUACUGCCGUGCUUGAGGACUGGAGAGGAGACUGGAAUUCUGGUGUAGCGGUGAAAUGCGCGAUAUCGAGAGAACGAAGACCAGCGGCGAAGGCGGUCGCUCGUGGCGAACUCGA